rnacentral:rRNA from 1 species
UACGAAGGGGGCUAGCGUUGCUCGGAAUCACUGGGCGUAAAGGGUGCGUAGGCGGGUCUUUAAGUCAGGGGUGAAAUCCUGGAGCUCAACUCCAGAACUGCCUUUGAUACUGAAGAUCUUGAGUUCGGGAGAGGUGAGUGGAACUGCGAGUGUAGAGGUGAAAUUCGUAGAUAUUCGCAAGAACACCAGUGGCGAAGGCGGCUCACUGGCCCGAUACUGACGCUGAGGCACGAAAGCGUGGGGAAGCAAACAGG